UGUAGCCUACGGGAGGCAGCAGUGAGGAAUAUUGGUCAAUGGGCGGAAGCCUGAACCAGCCAAGUCGCGUGAGGGAAGAAGGCCCUGCGGGUCGCAGACCUCUUUGGACGGGGAGCAAGGCCGCCGACGUGUCGGCGGAAGGAGAGUACCCGUAGAACAAGCAUCGGCUAACUCCGUGCCAGCAGCCGCGGUAAUACGGAGGAUGCGAGCGUUAUCCGGAUUUAUUGGGUUUAAAGGGUGCGCAGGCGGAUUUUUAAGUCAGCGGUCAAAUCGUGGGGCUCAACCCCAUCCAGCCGUUGAAACUG
rnacentral:rRNA from 1 species